rnacentral:rRNA from 1 species
CCUACGGGGGGCAGCAGUGGGGAAUAUUGCACAAUGGGGGAAACCCUGAUGCAGCCAUGCCGCGUGUGUGAAGAAGGCCUUCGGGUUGUAAAGCACUUUCAGUUGUGAGGAAAGGGUAGUCGCUAAUAUCGGCUAUCUGUGACGUUAGCAACAGAAGAAGCACCGGCUAACUCCGUGCCAGCAGCCGCGGUAAUACGGAGGGUGCGAGCGUUAAUCGGAAUUACUGGGCGUAAAGCGUGCGUAGGCGGUUAAUUAAGUCAGAUGUGAAAUCCCGGGCUCAACCUCGGAACUGCAUUUGAAACUGGUUAACUAGAGUAUUGUAGAGGGUGGUGGAAUUUCCAGUGUAGCGGUGAAAUGCGUAGAGAUUGGAAGGAACAUCAGUGGCGAAGGCGGCCACCUGGACAAAUACUGACGCUGAGGCACGAAAGCGUGGGGAGCGAACAGGAUUGGAUACCCUGGUAGUCCACGCCGUAAGCGAUGUCAACUAGCCGUCUGUUUCCUUGAGAAGUGGGUGGCGUAGCUAACGCGCUAAGUUGACCGCCUGGGGAGUACGGCCGCAAGGUUAAAACUUAAAUGAAUUGACGGGGGCCCGCACAAGCGGUGGAGCAUGUGGUUUAAUUCGAUGCAACGCGAAGAACCUUACCAUCCCUUGACAUCCAGAGAAUUUUCUAGAGAUAGAUUAGUGCCUUCGGGAACUCUGAGACAGGUGCUGCAUGGCUGUCGUCAGCUCGUGUUGUGAAAUGUUGGGUUAAGUCCCGCAACGAGCGCAACCCCUAUCCUUAUUUGCCAGCGCGUAGUGGCGGGAACUUUAAGGAGACUGCCGGUGAUAAACCGGAGGAAGGUGGGGACGACGUCAAGUCAUCAUGGCCCUUACGGGAUGGGCUACACACGUGCUACAAUGGCGUAUACAGAGUGCAGCGAGACCGCGAGGUGGAGCGAAUCACACAAAGUACGUCGUAGUCCGGAUUGGAGUCUGCAACUCGACUCCAUGAAGUCGGAAUCGCUAGUAAUCGUAGAUCAGAAUGCUACGGUGAAUACGUUCCCGGGCCUUGUACACACCGCCCGUC